ACGGAUGAUGAGAGUCAGAUAGGUUUCGCAUAUUAGGCUGAACUCCUGUGAUGUCACUUCCUCUUGGCUGUCUGACCAA
ensembl:snoRNA Small nucleolar RNA SNORD53/SNORD92